UACGAAGGGGGCUAGCGUUGUUCGGAAUUACUGGGCGUAAAGCGCACGUAGGCGGAUAUUUAAGUCAGGGGUGAAAUCCCGGGGCUCAACCCCGGAACUGCCUUUGAUACUGGGUAUCUCGAGUCCGAGAGAGGUGAGUGGAAUUCCGAGUGUAGAGGUGAAAUUCGUAGAUAUUCGGAGGAACACCAGUGGCGAAGGCGGCUCACUGGUCCAUUACUGACGCUGAGGUGCGAAAGCGUGGGGAGCAAACAGG
rnacentral:rRNA from 1 species